AACGAACGCUGGCGGCAGGCUUAACACAUGCAAGUCGAACGAGAUCUUCGGAUCUAGUGGCGCACGGGUGAGUAACGCGUGGGAAUCUACCUUGGAGUCUGGGAUAACAGUUGGAAACGACUGCUAAUACCGGGAUACGCCCUUAGGGGGAAAGGUUUACUGCUCCGAGAUGAGCCCGCGUCCAAUUAGGUAGUUGGUGAGGUAAAGGCUCACCAAGCCGACGAUUGGUAGCUGGUCUGAGAGGAUGACCAGCCACACUGGGACUGAGACACGGCCCAGACUCCUACGGGAGGCAGCAGUGGGGAAUAUUGGACCAAUGGGGGCAACCCUGAUCCAGCCAUGCCGCGUGAGUGAUCGAAGGCCUUAGGGUUGUAAAGCUCUUUCGCCGGUGACGAUGAUGACGGUAACCGGAGGAGAAGUCCCGGCUAACUUCGUGCCAGCAGCCGUCGGUAAUGUAUCGUACG
rnacentral:rRNA from 1 species